rnacentral:RNase_P_RNA from 1 species
GAAGCAAGCCAGACCGCCGCUGGUGCACUGUCCCGAAAGGGCGCACUGGAGGAAGGUCCGGACUGCACAGGGCAGCGCAGCAGCUAACGGCUGUCCACCGCGAGGUGAGGAUCAGAGCUACAGAGACGAGUCGGGGUUCAGGUCGCAAGGCCUGGGCUUCGGGUGAAACGAGCAAUCUCUGCGCGCAGCAACACCAAAUAGGCCGACGUUGAUGUGGCUCCGCGGAGUCGGCGGGUAGGUGGCACCGAGCCGUGCAGCGAUGCACGGCCCAGAGGAAUGGCGGUCACGGCGGGGCGGGCGCAAGCCCGCCCGGCUGCACAGAAUCCGGCCUAUCGGCUCGCUUCACAC